AGCUUCCCCCGCUAAAAUGCUAAAUACGCCCCUGAUUCCCCCUUCCUGGCUAAUAUCCCAAAACGCCCCUGAGCCCCGCACCCCCUUGACUAAUACCCCAAAUACGUCUCACAGCCCCCCACCCCUGGAUUAUACCCUGAAUACGCCUCUGAGCCCCCUCUCCUUGGCUAACAUCAUGAAUAUGCCCCUGAUCUCCCCCCUCCCGGCAAAAAUAUUGAAUACGCCCCUGAAAAGAGAAUUAAUAUUACAGAAUCGGUGGAAGAACUAAAGAAAGAAGUUGAAGAGAAACUUAAAGAAGAAAAGCAGCAGAGGACAGAAGAAUCUGAAAAUCUGAAUAAAGAGGUUUCGAGGCUAGAGAAGAAAACUAAGGAGAUAAAAGAGAGGUUGAAGGGGAAACUUGGAGUAAAUGUACCAGACUUUGACCUGGAUGAUGAAGAGGGAAAUGAGUAAAAUUCGGAGGAAAAAAUCCCCGAAAAAACUGAAAAAUGUUUUUUUUGGGAAAUGAACGACUGAAGCGAUCAAAUCUUCAGAUUGAAUCAAGAAUAAAACGAAAGUAUAGUUUUAAAGAAUAUUUUUGGCCCUUCGUGUCCGCAUGAUUUUGAGAAACUCAAAAAGCAAAUGUUAAGAAUAUUUUUUAAAAACAAUACUUUAUUGGUUUAAGAUAUAAUACAAUAGACAGGGUUACCCAGAAAGGAUGAGACUGUAAAGACGAUGUGAAACUCUUUGCAUAAGACGAUUUUAGGGUUUUAUUAAAGUCUACUGCCGAACUAUAGUCUUUCAAUGGCUUAUUUAAUGAUUUGGAAAAAAAAAUAAUGAUUUUAAAGAGGUAUGUGGUAGGAAACUAUAUAUGUUUUUAAGGAACCAGAUUAAUUUCGUGCAAUCAUCUCUGAAGUCCCAUCCUUUGUGGGUAACCCUGUAUGUUUUCUAAUUAUUGCACUCGAGUGAACUAAUUUACCACAUAAUAGUUUUUACGGCACGUUUAACUUUUCAGAAUCUGGUUUAUUUGUAAACAAACCAUCAUAAUGUAAACAAUACAAAUAAAUUGUAAACAACCUCUUUAUAUGUAAACAAAAACAGAUAUUGUAAACAAUCCCUCAAUAUGAAAACCAAAGCAAAUAUUGUAAACCACCUCCAAAUUCGUAAACAAAAACAAAUAUUGUAAACAAACCGCCAAUAUGUACGUAAAUAAAAGCAAAUAUUGUAAACCA